rnacentral:rRNA from 1 species
UGCGUAGGUGGGCUAGCCAGUCAGAUGUGAAAGCCCGGAGCUCAACUCCGGAACGGCAUUUGAAACUACUAGCCUUGAGGAUAGGCGGAGAAGACGGAAUUCCACGUGUAGCGGUGAAAUGCGUAGAUAUGUGGAAGAACACCGGUGGCGAAGGCGGUCUUCUAGCUUAUUCCUGACACUGAGGCACGAAAGCAAGGGGAGCGAACAGGAUUAGAUACCCUGGUAGUCC